AUAAGAACCAAACAGGACAAAAUAAUCAUGAAGUACGCAUUCUUCUUUCCCUUCCCUAAUUUACAUUCUUCACAUUUCACACUGUUAACUGGGGUUGGUGUGGAUCUAUAUGCAUAAAUGCACGUGGUUUCAACAGAUAAUUUUGCAAGUUAAUGACAUUUUUAAACCUGUCAUCUCAGGGCAAAAUAUGCAGGUUGGCUUGGUGUAAAAGAAUUCUCCUCUCGCAUCCCUUUUGCAUUCAGGCCAAUGAGGAAAGCUUCUGGUCUGAUUGACAAUCAAGUGAAGCAUUGAAGAGUCCUCCUCUCCAAUUGAAAGGCCUAUAAAGGGGAGGAGUUUCCUGCUUCCUAUUUUCUUCCUAAUGAUAUUACUGUUGUUGGCCAGAAUCUAAUCACCUCACAUGGAGGUCACAGCCUUUCAUUAGUACACUGGGAAGUGUUAAUGAAGGAAACACAGAAGAUGUUUUGGAGUGUUUGCACAAGACCCAGUUGAGAGAAAACAGCUGAAAACUACCAGAGGGCCCUUUGGCUAGCUUGAGGAAGGUGCAGACUCUGCAUUCACAGAGGGUGCCCCAAUAACUCACUGAGGCAAGGAAGAACAAGGUGCAUAUUCCUUGCCAUUCCAGGAAGAAGCAAGCAGAUUAUUGCAGAAAAACAAUGCCUUCGUAGAGCUGGAGUGGAAGCAACACAUGAGAAGAGAGCAGUCAAGG